CCUACGGGUGGCAGCAGUCGAGAAUCAUUCACAAUGGGGGAAACCCUGAUGGUGCGACGCCGCGUGGGGGAAUGAAGGUCUUCGGAUUGUAAACCCCUGUCAUGUGGGAGCAAAUUAAAAAGAUAGUACCACAAGAGGAAGAGACGGCUAACUCUGUGCCAGCAGCCGCGGUAAUACAGAGGUCUCAAGCGUUGUUCGGAAUCACUGGGCGUAAGGCGUGCGUAGGCUGUUUCGUAAGUCGUGUGUGAAAGGCGCGGGCUCAACCCGCGGACGGCACAUGAUACUGGGAGACUAGAGUAAUGGAGGGGGAACCGGAAUUCUCGGUGUAGCAGUGAAAUGCGUAGAUAUCGAGAGGAACACUCGUGGCGAAGGCGGGUUCCUGGACAUUAACUGACGCUGAGGCACGAAGGCCAGGGGAGCGAAAGGGAUUAGAUACCCCUGUAGUC
rnacentral:rRNA from 1 species